rnacentral:misc_RNA from 1 species
CCUAGAGUUGUAGGCUUUGCCUGCUAUCUCAUUACCCAUGUCUUUUGAGUACCUUCGUUUCCUCGGCGGGUCCGCCCGCCGAUUGGACAAUUUAAACCAUUUGCAGUCGCAAUCAGCGUCUGAAAAAACUUAAUAGUUA